rnacentral:rRNA from 1 species
UACGUAGGGUGCAAGCGUUAAUCGGAAUUACUGGGCGUAAAGCGUGCGCAGGCGGUUCUAUAAGACAGAUGUGAAAUCCCCGGGCUCAACCUGGGAACUGCAUUUGUGACUGUAGAGCUGGAGUACGGUAGAGGGGGAUGGAAUUCCGCGUGUAGCAGUGAAAUGCGUAGAUAUGCGGAGGAACACCGAUGGCGAAGGCAAUCCCCUGGACCUGUACUGACGCUCAUGCACGAAAGCGUCGGGAGCAAACAGG